rnacentral:tRNA from 1 species
GCAGUAGUGGUUCAGUGUUAGAAUACUUACCUUCUAUGCAGGAGACCUGGGUUCGAUUCCCGGCCAAUGCA